UCUAGAAAGUAGUGGAGAUAGCCAGAUUGAUUGGGACACCUGAAGGCAAUGAAGGGCUGGCUGGAACUAGGUAAAAUCCUUCCAAUUAGUCAGUGAGGUGUGUGUAGCAGGAGCUGUGAGAGGAAGCUGUGCUGUUGGAGGAACUAAGCAGUACAAAUCCAUAUCAGGCUCAAGGAAGGAGGCCCUGAGCCAAUGCCAGGCCUGGAGGGGAGAAAAAAGGAGGAGCCUGGUGAAGAGGCAGGAGCUAGCGGCCUCCCUACUUGAAGGAAAGAUCACUAGCUCACUGUCUGAGGCAGCCACCAGGAACCAAGCACUGUCUUCCUGGUCAAAGGAGAUGGAGAAGGAGGCCUACGAACACCUGGCGUUGGUUUGGAAGCUGCUGGUCUGAUGUGCAAUGGGAUGCUUCUUAUUCCAGCCACAGAUAUCCUGAAGUGAGAUUCUUGAGGUCUCUGUGGAGUUAGAAUUGAUUGCCUCUACAUUAUCUACUGUUCAGACAGAGGAAAUUGCUCUACCGUGUUCUUUUUGGCACUAAAUUUAACCUGUUUUGCCUCAAAUAUGGUCCUUUAAUGCAUGCAGUUUUUAAGUAGUCCAGCUAACAAUGAAGGCUAAAAACAUAUAUCCAUAGCAAAUGUGAUUUUAAAAAAGUUCUUUAAUAGACUCCAAACCAUAAUUUUUAAUGGCCUAAAUUGACUCCCAACUAAACCAGUUCACAUACGUAAGACAAGAAAUUAUCUCGUCUCUAGUGCCAUGGUGCUAUACCCUGCCUUGUGAUACCCAAUCUCUCUUCCCCUUCUAAGGUUAUAGACCCUGCAUGUACCAAGUCCUUCCCCAUAGUUAAACUCUUCCAACACUAUUAAAAAUGGUUGUGCAAACAAUCUGGUUCCUAGCAGAAUAGUUCACCUAGUGCUCCUGCUCCUGCUAAGGGAACAAGCUGAUAGAAGGAAGGGAGUCAGAUAUGCAGUGUUACUGAUAACGCUGCCAGGCUGACUUUUACAAUAACAAUAUGCCCACUAAAGACCUCCUCAGUUACUCUGUCAGGCUAAAGCAGUAAACAGAGAUGUACAGUAACCGUUCUCCCUUCUUGAAGGGUUAUCAGGGUGGCACAGGUGUUGUUUCAGUUGACAGCAGGUACCUCUUAGGACUGCCAUGCCAUUUUUUCUUUACGGGGUUUUUCACUUCAAAGUCAUUUGAACACCAUCCAAAAAGUAAGCGGCUUUCAUUUUAAAAUUAGUACAUUCUGGCAAUUUCACCGAGCUGAGCACAUCUCUCAGUAAAGCAGACAUCUUUAAAGGGCCAUUCAGAAAGCAAUGACUUACAAAAUUAUCACAUUGCUGCCAGUGCUGUUGCCCUUGGUUAAUUCUAAUAGCUCUGCACACCCAUAUAGUUUCAUCACCCUACCAAAGUUAAAUGCUAAUGAUUUCUCCGUGGCUGCUGCUCUGUCAGGUCUUUGCCAUGGGUCUCCUGUACUUCACUCUGGC